rfam:Lactobacillus lindneri DSM 20690 = JCM 11027 strain DSM 20690 NODE_5, whole genome shotgun sequence.
GCCGCUUUAGCUCAAUAGGUAGAGCACUUCCAUGGUAAGGAAAAGAUUCCGGGUUCAAAUCCCAGAAGCGGCU